rnacentral:rRNA from 1 species
UACGUAGGGGGCUAGCGUUGUCCGGAAUCAUUGGGCGUAAAGAGCGUGUAGGCGGCCCGGUAAGUCCGCUGUAAAAGUCAAAGGCUCAACCUUUGAAUGUCAGUGGAUACUGCCGGGCUAGAGUCCGGAAGAGGCGAGUGGGACUCCUGGUGUAGCGGUGGAAUGCGCAGAUAUCAGGAAGAACACCGACGGCGAAGGCAGCUCGCUGGGACGGUACUGACGCUGAGACGCGAAAGCGUGGGGAGCGAACAGG